CAAUAGCGUAUAUUAAAGUUGUUGCGGUUAAAAAGCUCGUAGUUGGAUUUCUGUUGAGGACGACCGGUCCGCCCUCUGGGUGAGUAUCUGGCUCGGCCUUGGCAUCUUCUUGGAGAACGUAACUGCACUUGACUGUGUGGUGCGGUAUCCAGGACUUUUACUUUGAGGAAAUUAGAGUGUUCAAAGCAAGCUUACGCUGUGAAUAUAUUAGCAUGGAAUAAUAACAUAGGACUCGGGUUCUAUUUUGUUGGUUUCUAGGACUCAAGUAAUGAUUGAUAGGGACAGUUGGGGGUGCUGCUAUUAUAUGGCCAGAGGUGAAAUUCACGGAUUCAUAUAAGAGCAACUUAUGCGAAAGCAUUCACCAAGGAUGUCUUCUUUAAUCAAGAACGAAAGUUGGGGGAUCGAAGACGAUCAGAUACCGU
rnacentral:rRNA from 1 species